AGAGUUUGAUCCUGGCUCAGGAUGAACGCUAGCGACAGGCCUAACACAUGCAAGUCGAGGGGUAACAGGGGCUUCGGCCCGCUGACGACCGGCGCACGGGUGAGUAACGCGUAUGCAACCUACCUGUAACUGGGGGAUAGCUCCCUGAAAGGGGAAUUAACACCGCAUAAGACCACGCUAUCACAUGGUAAAGUGGUAAAAUAUUUAUAGGUUACAGAUGGGCAUGCGUGACAUUAGUUAGUUGGCGGGGUAACGGCCCACCAAGACUACGAUGUCUAGGGGUUCUGAGAGGAAGGUCCCCCACACUGGUACUGAGACACGGACCAGACUCCUACGGGAGGCAGCAGUGAGGAAUAUUGGUCAAUGGACGCAAGUCUGAACCAGCCAUGUCGCGUGCAGGAAGACGGCCCUAUGGGUUGUAAACUGCUUUUGUACGGGAAGAAAAUCAGCUACGUGUAGUUGUUUGCCGGUACCGUACGAAUAAGGAUCGGCUAACUCCGUGCCAGCAGCCGCGGUAAUACGGAGGAUCCGAGCGUUAUCCGGAAUUAUUGGGUUUAAAGGGUGCGUAGGCGGCCAUUUAAGUCAGCGGUGAAAUUUUGCAGCUUAACUGUAACAGUGCCGUUGAUACUGUUUGGCUAGGAUUUGGUUGUAGUGUGCGGAAUGUGUGGUGUAGCGGUGAAAUGCUUAGAUAUCACACAGAACACCGAUUGCGAAGGCAGCACACUAAGUCAUUAUUGACGCUGAGGCACGAAAGUGUGGGGAUCAAACAGGAUUAGAUACCCUGGUAGUCCACACUGUAAACGAUGAUAACUCGCUGUCGGCGAUACACAGUCGGUGGCCAAGCGAAAGCAUUAAGUUAUCCACCUGGGGAGUACGACCGCAAGGUUGAAACUCAAAGGAAUUGACGGGGGCCCGCACAAGCGGAGGAACAUGUGGUUUAAUUCGAUGAUACGCGAGGAACCUUACCCGGGCUCGAACGGUGCAUGAAUAUACGAGAGAUUGUAUAGUCCUUCGGGACAUGUAUCGAGGUGCUGCAUGGUUGUCGUCAGCUCGUGCCGUGAGGUGUCGGCUUAAGUGCCAUAACGAGCGCAACCCUUGUCAUUAGUUGCCAUCAGGUCAAGCUGGGGACUUUAAUGAGACUGCCACCGUAAGGUGUGAGGAAGGGGGGGAUGACGUCAAAUCAGCACGGCCCUUAUGUCCGGGGCGACACACGUGUUACAAUGGGAGGUACAGAGGGCAGCUAUCCGGUGACGGAAUGCUAAUCUCCAAAACCUUUCUCAGUUCGGAUUGGAGUCUGCAACUCGACUCCAUGAAGCUGGAUUCGCUAGUAAUCGCGCAUCAGCCACGGCGCGGUGAAUACGUUCCCGGGCCUUGUACACACCGCCCGUCAAG
rnacentral:rRNA from 1 species